rnacentral:lncRNA from 1 species
AUGGGCUUUGCCCAGGGAAAGCAGCAGCCAGCAGCUUCUCCUGCACCUUCUGACACCUUGAGUAUUGGCGGUUCCAUUCUUACAAUGAGGAGAACUGGCAGCAGGAAGCUCAAGGCAGGCAGAGAUGAGAAGAAAGAGGAAUUCCUGCCAGACACUGCAGGAGUGUUGAAUUGUCUAUUUGUGUCUACGUCUGCCCACUGCACACAUGUCAAUCUAUGGAGAAGAGCUCACAAAUCAACCCCUUCUCAGGUGCUUUGAGCCAACUCUUCAAUUUCAGGAAAAGCCACACUUGGAUAAGCAAUGUAAGAUGAUGCACCAAGCCACACACAUGGGAGGGCCAGGCAAACUGUUCAGGAUGGAAUGUUGCGAGUGACAGGAAACAGAUGUACAUAAACAUUAGUGGACACACAGGUCCCAGUUUCUCCCCUGAAUAUCUUCCCAUUGCAAUACUCUGCUCUUAUGUUCUCAGAACUUUGCCAGGUUAAGUUGUUAAAACAUUUAAUUGUUAAAUCAUUAAACUGAAUAUUUUUCUUUCCCUGUUGUCCAUCCAGAGCAAAGGAUUUGGGAGAAACUCAAUCAAAAUAUUUCAGUUUUUUGGGUUUUCGAUGAAGUUGAGAUUGAAAUCAAGGAAAGUUUUUUGUUUGGAAAAACAAAAAGCAUACAGCCUUCAUUCAGAUGCCCUAACAUUGUGCUGCUUGAAACUGAGUAUCUGCUUUCAGGAUCUUAC